rnacentral:rRNA from 1 species
UACGUAGGUGGCAAGCGUUGUCCGGAUUUAUUGGGUUUAAAGGGUGCGUAGGUGGUCUAUUAAGUCAGUGCUGAAAUAUCCCGGCUUAACCGGGAGGGUGGCAUUGAUACUGAUGGACUUGAGUAAAGUUGAGGCGGGCGGAAUUGACGGUGUAGCGGUGAAAUGCUUAGAUAUCGUCAAGAACACCUAUUGCGAAGGCAGCUCACUAAGCUUUAACUGACACUGAGGCACGAAAGUGUGGGGAUCAAACAGG